UUUGCUGUUCUGCUCGAUCUGCUGUUUUUGUGUAGAAGUGAUUUAUUGACUUGAUUUAUUUCUUCAUUUCUUUCCCAUCUUCAUUGUUCCUGAUCUCUUCAUGAAGUCGUCUGGUCCUGCUCUCCUUCUCCGUCCUGCAGGAUUACGGGGUUUCAUGUAGCUGAUUAAAGACGGGUUGGGGACAUGGGAUGGGUCUCAGGCUGUGACCGGUUCCGUAUACAGUCACGGUUGCUAGGUAACGAGUGAUGACUGACCCUGAGGAGGAUUCUUCUAACUUUGGAUGGAACGAUGGAACAUUAUUCGUACGUUUCUCUUCAGGUUUCUGACACAGAGAUCCUCGGAUCCUCGCUGUAGACGUUUCCACACGCUUCUGAUCCUUUCAUUUUAACGUUUAAAGAAAGAAAGAAAGCAGAAGGGAGGAAAAUAAAAUAAAAAGUGAGAGAGGGAAUACUCUUUUAUUCUUUUUGCAGCAAGACACACAAUUAUCCAGGAAGCUGAUCAACCAAUUACACACAGAACAGGAAAGCCUUGAUCUUUCUUCUUUUCUUUAAUUCUUAAGUGCAGAUGUUAAUCUAAUCUAAUCUCUCUCUUUCUCACACACACACACACACACACAUACACACAAACACACACACCGAGUGAGUGAUUAACCAAAUCCACUAAAUCCGCUCGAGUCAUUACAUUGCUCAAAGUCCAACACCGACACACAGAAUGUUUCAGCAUGUGUGUGUGUGUGUGUGUGUGUGUGUAAGAGUCAUGUCGUUGCUGGCUGUGUUCCUAAACCAUGUUCCUGGCUGGUUCCUGUUUUUUGGAGUUUUUAUACCAGUGAGUCUUCUGCUCCUGCUGAUGAUACGUUACCUGAGCAUCAACCUGGACCAAGUGGAGGUGGAGUUGUCUGAGGCCCGGGACCCACAGGAGAUGGCAUGGAGACUCUGCUCUAAUCAGCAGCACCGAUACAGACACACACACACACACACACACACACACACACACACACACACACACACACACACACACACACACACGGAAAAGAAGCUGAGGAU